rnacentral:rRNA from 1 species
AACGAACGCUGGCGGCAUGCCUAACACAUGCAAGUCGAACGAGACCUUCGGGUCUAGUGGCGCACGGGUGCGUAACGCGUGGGAAUCUACCCUUCGGUUCGGAAUAACUCAGGGAAACUUGAGCUAAUACCGGAUAACGACGUAAGUCCAAAGAUUUAUCGCCGAGGGAUGAGCCCGCGUAAGAUUAGCUAGUUGGUGGGAAAGGACCUACCAAGGCUACGAUCUUUAGCUGGUCUGAGAGGAUGAUCAGCCACACUGGGACGUGAGACACGGCCCAGACUCCUACGGGAGGCAGCAGUGGGGAAUAUUGGACAAUGGGCGGAAAAGCCUGAUCCAGCAAUGCCGCGUGAGUGAUGAAGGCC